rnacentral:rRNA from 1 species
CGGUUAAAGAGCGGCGGACGGGUGAGUAACGCGUGGGUAACCUGCCUUACACUGGGGGAUAACAGUUAGAAAUGACUGCUAAUACCGCAUAAGCGCACAGGGCCGCAUGGUCUGGUGUGAAAAACUCCGGUGGUGUAAGAUGGACCCGCGUCUGAUUAGGUAGUUGGUGGGGUAACGGCCCACCAAGCCGACGAUCAGUAGCCGACCUGAGAGGGUGACCGGCCACAUUGGGACUGAGACACGGCCCAA